AGGACGAACGCUGGCGGCGUGCCUAACACAUGCAAGUCGAACGAGGUCCAACCGGUGGCAACACUGGUGAAGACCGAGUGGCGAACGGGUGAGUAACACGUGAGCAACCUGCCUCGAAGACUGGGAUAACCCCGGGAAACCGGGGCUAAUACCGGAUACGACCUCGAGCGGCAUCUCUUGAGGUGGAAAGCUCCGACGGUGAGGGAUGGGCCCGCGGCCUAUCAGCUUGUUGGUGGGGUAAUGGCCUACCAAGGCGACGACGGGUAGCCGGCCUGAGAGGGCGACGGCCACGACUGGGACUGAGACACGGCCCAGACUCCUACGGGAGGCAGCAGUGGGGAAUAUUGCGCAAUGGGCGAAAGCCUGACGCAGCGACGCCGCGUGAGGGAUGAAGGCCUUCGGGUUGUAAACCUCUUUCAGCAGGGACGAAGCGAAGUGACGGUACCUGCAGAAGAAGCACCGGCUAACUACGUGCCAGCAGCCGC
rnacentral:rRNA from 1 species